rnacentral:lncRNA from 1 species
AUGCCCAGAAAAUAUGGUAAGCUAUGUUAACAAGCCAUAUUAGAUAUCAAGCAUUAAUAUGGAAAUAAACCAGGUAACUCCUGUGUAAUUGAUCUUUGUGGGGACUUGGAGGAGGGGAGGUGAAUCUAAACUAGGUUUAGUGUGUGCUAAACUUAAUUAAUGGUUAACUAAAUUCAUUCAAAGAUAUCUGUAACUUGUGGUCUGAUAGUGCUGGUUUUUGGAUAUGAAUUUGUCAUUAAGACUACCUGGGCUGACUCUCUUUUCGGACUCAGCCCACCUGCACCCAGGUGAAAUAAACAGCUUUAUUGCUCACACAAA